UAUAAAAGUUACAAGUCCUUUAUUGCAAACAUAUAUUUAGUAAAAAGUUAGUACAUACACAUGAAUAACCAUCUUAUACAUGUAAUAGGUGUUAAACAUGCUGCCAUUAGACAUUGAAGAUUAUUAAUAUAAUAGAUAAUUCAUUGUUUAAACACUUUUAUGAUCUCUACGAAAUAUAUAAGUGCCUGCAAGACAAUGUCUUGCAACUUCUAUGUAUUAGUUUCAGAUUUGUUUGAAAUGUAUCGGUAUAAUCAUAAUAGUCGCGUUUCAUCACUUUCAUCAAUUUCAGAAUCGUUUCGCAUAACAAAAGAAGGUUUCUAUAAAUAUUCAAAUACUUUCGUAAGCAACUGUAUACUCCAGGUUUUUUAGAACUUCCUUGUUAAUUGAUAAAGUUCAGAGCCUAACCUAACCUAUGACUAGUGGAAGCUUCAUUGCAAUUUAAAUCACACUUGGUGUGUCAUCUACUAAGCAAUCAUGUUUGUUGAUGCUUAUCACGUUGAUUCAUUGAUGUCGUUUAUGUUUGUUCGUAUCUGUUCAUCAAGUAUAAACUCGGCUUAAUAGGUUGUAUGUAUGUGUACAUUGCGCAGUGGAAUCGGCCUCAAUGCACGACGAGAGAAACUUUUGCUUUAAUCCAACUAUACCGCAGGGUCAGACUUUUCAUCCAAUGUGUUUCGCUCGGGGAAGAAAAUAGAAUUGGAGAAAUGUCGUACACGUAUAUUUUCUAAUCGAUCUCUUCAGCCGGCCAAUGAUUUCCACUUUUCUCCGGACCUCUUUCUCUCGUUCGUUUCGUUACAAAUUGUGACAACGUUUUAUCUCCUUGACGUUCAUAGGUUCGACGAACUAGGUGAGAUUUCGUUAGGAAAUAAUAUAUAUUUGAUUAGAAACAUUUACCGAAGAAUUUCUGUGAACCUAAAAUAUUUCGUAUUAUUUACUUCAACUUUUUAAUGCUGUUUGGUUUGGAAUGAUUAAGAGUUAGGAAAGAUUUAACUAGAAUUAGAUUUUUCACCGUUUGUAGUUUCACGAGCUUUUCUUAAAAAACUGUUGGCCUUUUUAACAAUGAAUUCUUUUAAAUAGCUUCUAUAGGCUCUCAUAGAGUAUUUCAUCUCUGGCUUAUGUAUUUGGAAUAAGUUUUGUAAAGAUUAUGAUAAAUACAUAAUAAUGGGACUAUGUUAUACUUGGUGAAUGAGACAGAUAGAGGUAUGUAUAUAUCUUGGUAUGUAUAUAUGAGAUUUAAUAUUAUUUUACUGAAAAAAUGAACCUGUUUUAUUAAUGAAUUUUUUUACGUUUCCCCUUAAUUUUCUUUAGUAUCCAACUAACAGCAAUAAUAUUAUUUGCUAGGAAUUUAUAAUAAAAACGAAACGAACCUUUCGGAAGAAGCCAAUACAUACAUAUUUAGAAUAUCUUUCAGAUGAAACGAUUAAGUGUCCAAGGUUAUUUCCUUAAGAAUAUAUUCUUUUCUACGUUUCUGAAGGUGAUUUUAUGGUUAAAUGGAAAUCUUGCGAGUUCAAUACCAACCAAUUACCACAAUAGUAAGCAAUUUUACGAGUUUACGAGAGCAAUGAGGAAUUAGGACGUAUUAAGAUUGGCGUGAAUUUAAUGGCGGCGAAACCAAAAGUGGCUGUAUGUGAUUUUUUCCUAGCAACUGUACAACAUUUUACUCUAUUAGAAAGUGGUAAUAAGGAAAGUAUUUCUAUAUAUAAAGAUUAAGUCUACAUUCGUAAAUACAUAAAACUUAUUAUAUUAUUUUUUUUUCCAAAAAAAAGAAAGCGAAUGAAUGAAGAUUGAAAACAUUUAUGGAAAAGUUAAAAAAAAUGUUUAUUGCUACUACUUCAUCGACGUGUAUCUGCAAACAUUGCUCAUAAAACAUACGUGUCCAAGCGCACGACGUCGACUUAUGUUUGUUUUAAAAUACAUACUCAAACACGU